ACGAACGCUGGCGGCGUGCUUAACACAUGCAAGUCGAACGGUGAAGCGCCUUCCUUUUUGGUGGGUGUGGAUGAGUGGCGAACGGGUGAGUAACACGUGAGUAACCUGCCCCCUUCUUCUGGAUAACCGCAUGAAAGUGUGGCUAAUACGGGAUAUUCUGGGUCUGUCGCAUGAUGGGUCUGGGAAAGAUAUUGUUUCGGUGGGGGAUGGGCUCGCGGCCUAUCAGCUUGUUGGUGGGGUGAUGGCCUACCAAGGCGGUGACGGGUAGCCGGCCUGAGAGGGUGGACGGUCACACUGGGACUGAGACACGGCCCAGACUCCUACGGGAGGCAGCAGUGGGGAAUAGUGCACAAUGGGCGCAAGCCUGAUGCAGCGACGCCGCGUGAGGGGUGGAGGCCUUCGGGUUGUGAACCUCUUUCGCCAGUGAAGCAGGCCUGCCUCGUUUGUGGGUGGGUUGACGGUAGUUGGAUAAGAAGCGCCGGCUAACUACGUG
rnacentral:rRNA from 1 species